AAAAUGUGUCUGGAAUUGGUGGGUUCUUGGUCUUACUGACUUUAAGAAUGAAGUUGCGGACUUUUGCGAUGCCAAUAUUUUACCUCUUGGGUACUUUCUGUGUAGAAGAUUCAUAACAAGAACAAUACUUAUUCUGCAAUUCUUUAUAUAAAGCUCCAGAGGGAAGUGAGAAGGAUGUUCACUUGCUGGUGAGAGAAGGAGCUGGUUCCAUCCAUUACGCAGUCCCCUGGGAGCGCUAAAUGCAACUUUAUCUCAACGGGGAGUGGACGAUGAGCAGGACGUCGCUAGAGGGAAAGAGCACAAAGGAAGUAGACCAAGGAGACUGAAGGUGGUUAUGAAGACUGUGCAUCUCUGAGGACAUCUUAAACAAAGAUGACCCAAAUCUUUGAUCUUCAAAUAGUCGAUGUGAACUGCUUAACAAAAUGCCCUGGGAAAACUCUGUCUGAAACAAGCAGCUUGGGGGUUUGAUUUCAUUAGUUACUGGACAAGAACUGGAAUGGAGUGAAAAAUCUUCAUUCAUUUCUUGGUCAGAUGGAGAGAGGAGAAAAAAAGAAGUGGGUUUCCAUUCACUUCCAUUUUCUAACU
rnacentral:lncRNA from 10 species